UUAUGAGGAGCGAGCACGGUAUCUGGAGUCGAUCGUGCAGCACCACGUGGAGUUGAGCACGUUUGAGGACUACGCAGCGCGCAUGUUUAGCCCUGCCCCCUUCCACCACCCUCCCAGCGAAUCAGAUGAUAAUCAUACACUCAUGUGUGUCUAAAGCCUGAAGUAAAACUCAUGCAGUUCCUUCCUGGAGAACCCGGCGUGUGAGAACCCGAGUGUGCCGCUGGACGCCGGUGAUGCAUCAUCUCCCAUCUCUCCUCGAGCCAGCAAGAGCCGCAUGUCCAUGAAGCUGCGCCGCUCCUCGGGAUCCGCCAACAAGACCUGAACACACACGCACAAAACACACAGAGCACAUAGAUCACUAAAACAUAUACGCACUGCACACUCCACGCUCUCACACGCACACACACGUAGUCAUGUGUUGGUAACUGUCUGUACAUCAUGAUACUUUGAUCAAUUCUGAACCCACGAUUUCUGAUGAAAGGUUACUGAGGAACCCGACGCCAUGGUAACGGUGAUAGCGGUGGUGAUGCGUACCGGGUGUCUGUUCCGAUGCAGUGUUACGGAGCUCAGACCGGAUUAAACAUGGACUGAUCACAAACUGCACUCUUCCUCAGCUUCAGUUACUGAUGUGUUUAUAAACUCUGUACACAAGAGGAAAGAAGUGGACCCGUCUCGCUCGCUCUCUCUCUCUGUGUGUGUGUGUGUGAAAUGAAACACAGCCACGUCCUCCUGUUACACCAGUCCUUCUUUCAUUGCUUUAACGUUUUUAUCUCAUGACGACACUACUGUUCUUCUACACUCUAACAACACGUCCUCUUUACCUCAGACGCACUCGGUCAGUGUGAGACAUUGGAGCUAAUGACGCUAACAAGUAAUGGAAACUUAAGGCCUCCAGUUUAGCAUGAUACACCUGUGUGUGAGGCUCCACCCACUGCAGUGUCUCCUAUGUUGUGUUUUUUUUUUUUUUUUUACAGGUGUAGAUUUUGGGGAAAAUAAAGUCGUCGGGACUCAAUUUCAUUUGUUCCCGUUUUCAUAACAAAGUGAACUAGGUUAAAAAAAAUAAAUCCUACACAGUGUGUAAAAAUAAAACAGGGGAAUGAUGAUAAUUAAAUGAUUAAUAGGGGUUAGUGACACAGGAAAACGGCUAUAAACUCAAUCACGGGGACGAAUAAUUCCGCGAGGAGUCAAAGUAAAGCACUCGGUAAUAAAACUGGAGUCGAGACUGGGAUUAAAACACUAAACCCGAGGCUACAGGCUUCUGUUAUUUGUUAGCCACGUUAGCAUCGUAGCCGCAGUGUAAGAUGAAAUAUGGAAAGGUGUUCUGUUGCUCGAGUGCGUUUGGAGGAAACGGCGACUCUGGGCGCAUUUCGUUUCAUUAGAUUGUGUUUUUCUGUUGUACAGAAAUGUGUGUGUGUGUGUUUGUAUAUAAAUAUAAAU
ensembl:lncRNA